CACUCCUACGGGAGGCAGCAGUGGGGAAUUUUGGACAAUGGGCGAAAGCCUGAUCCAGCCAUGCCGCGUGCAGGAUGAAGGCCUUCGGGUUGUAAACUGCUUUUGUACGGAACGAAACGGCCUUUUCUAAUAAAGAGGGCUAAUGACGGUACCGUAAGAAUAAGCACCGGCUAACUACGUGCCAGCAGCCGCGGUAAUACGUAGGGUGCAAGCGUUAAUCGGAAUUACUGGGCGUAAAGCGUGCGCAGGCGGUUAUGUAAGACAGUUGUGAAAUCCCCGGGCUCAACCUGGGAACUGCAUCUGUGACUGCAUAGCUAGAGUACGGUAGAGGGGGAUGGAAUUCCGCGUGUAGCAGUGAAAUGCGUAGAUAUGCGGAGGAACACCGAUGGCGAAGGCAAUCCCCUGGACCUGUACUGACGCUCAUGCACGAAAGCGUGGGGAGCAAACAGGAUUAGAUACCCAAGUAGUCC
rnacentral:rRNA from 1 species